rnacentral:rRNA from 1 species
UACAGAGGUCCCAAGCGUUGUUCGGAUUCACUGGGCGUAAAGGGUGCGUAGGUGGUGGGGUAAGUCGGAUGUGAAAGCUCGGAGCUCAACUCCGAAAUGGCAUUGGAAACUACCCUGCUAGAGGAUUGGAGGGGGACUGGAAUACUUGGUGUAGCAGUGAAAUGCGUAGAUAUCAAGUGGAACACCAGUGGCGAAGGCGAGUCCCUGGACAAGUUCCUGACACUGAGGCACGAAAGCUAGGGGAGCAAACAGG